rnacentral:rRNA from 1 species
GAUGAACGCUGGCGGCGUGCCUAAUACAUGCAAGUCGAGCGAACAGACGAGGAGCUUGCUCCUCUGACGUUAGCGGCGGACGUGUGAGUAACACGUGGAUAACCUACCUAUAAGACUGAGAUAACUUCGGGAAACCGGAGCUAAUACCGUAUGAUAUCUUGAACCACAUUGUUCAAUAGUGAAAGACGGUUUUUCUGUCACUUAUAGAUGGAUCCGCGCCUCAUCAUCGUGUUGUUAGUGUAGCGGCUUACCAAGGCAACGACGCGUAGCCGGCCUGAGAGGGUGACCGGCCACAGUGGGACUGAGAGACGGCCCAGACUCCUACGGUAGGCAGCAGUGGGGAAUAAUACAGAAUGGGCGGAAGCCGAAAGCAGCAACGCCGCGUUCGGGAUGACGGCCUUCGGGUUAUAAACCGCUUUCGCCUGUGACGAAGCGUGAGUGACGGUAAUGAGUAAAGAAGCACCGGCUAACUACGUG